rnacentral:rRNA from 1 species
AUGUAUGCCGAUCGACUGAUCGAGCUCUCACUUCCUCUUGUUCUUGCUGCCGACGAGCAGCACGACGUAGAAGAGCGCGCGGAAGAAGAAGCCGAAGCCGGCGGUGACCAGGAGGCACAUCCACUUGCCGAGGUCGGUGACGGCCUGCUGCGCGAGCACGUCGGCGCCCGUGAGGACGCAGGUGUGGGAGGUCAUGCGCGUGCCCAGCGCGUUGCCGAUGGCGCCCAGCACCUUCAUCUUGAUGGCCUCCGGCAUGCCGCCGAUGGGCGUGCCGUCGAACAUCUGCGUCCCGCGCGCGAAGCACCGCGUGGCGUCGCCGAACUCGUUCUGCAGCACCGCCUGGUACGGGUACUUGACGAGCGAGAUGUAGUGGAACCAGAUCCAGUAGUCCGGGAUCCUGUCCCGGUUGAUGAAGAAGCCCGAGAAGAGCAGGAAGUAGGCCAGGAUGGCCACCACCACCGUGUACCCCAGCAUCACGUGCGGCACCACCGCCGACAGGAACGUCACAAACCCGCUGCCGGCCCAGAGAGAGGCGAGGAUGAUGAGCGAGAAGUAGAGGAACGAUGA